AUACGGAGGAUCCGAGCGUUAUCCGGAUUUAUUGGGUUUAAAGGGUGCGCAGGCGGCCAUUUAAGUCGGCGGUUAAAUCGUGGGGCUCAACCCCAUUCUGCCGUUGAUACUGGGUGGCUUGAUUGUGGUCGAGGUUGGCGGAAUUCGUUGUGUAACGGGGAAAUGCAUAGAUAUGACGAAGAAAACCGAUUGCGUAGGCAGCUGACCAGACCGCAAAUGACGCUCAUGCACGAAAGUGCGGGGAUCGAACAGGAUUAGAUACCCUGGUAGUCCGCACAGUAAACGAUGAAUACUUGUUUUCGGCGAUAUAAUGUCGGAGGCAAAGCGAAAGCGAUAAGUAUUCCACCUGGGGAGUACGCCGGCAACGGUGAAACUCAAAUGAAUUGACGGGG
rnacentral:rRNA from 1 species